rnacentral:rRNA from 1 species
GAUGGACGCUAGCGGCAGGCUUAAUACAUGCAAGUCGAGGGGCGGCACAGAAAGCAAUAUUGGGUGGCGACCGGCAAACGGGUGCGGAACACGUAUACAACCUUCCUUUUGGUGGGGGAUAGCCUUUGGAAUCGGCGAUUAAUACCCCAUAAGAUAUUGGGACCGCAUGGUUUUGAUAUUAACGAUUUAUUGCCAGAACAUGGGUGUGCGUAUGGUUAAGUAGUUGGUGUAGUAAAGGCUCACCAAGUGGAUGAUCAUUAACUGGUGUGAGAGCACGACCAGUCACACGGGCACUGAGACACGGGCCCGACUCCUACGGGAGGCAGCAGUAAAGAAUAUUGGUCAAUGGACGGAAGUCUGAACCAGCCAUGCCGCGUGGAGGAUGAAGGUCCUCUGGAUUGUAAACUUCUUUUAUAUGGGGCGAAAAAGAGCCAUUCUUGGUCAACUGACGGUACCAUAUGAAUAAGCACCGGCUAACUACGUGCCAGCAGCCGCGGUAAGAC